ensembl:lncRNA
GUAGUCCUUGUCUCCUCUGCCUGUCUUGAUUCUGACUGAUAGUCCUCCAUCUUGAUUCCUUUAUGUUUCCCCCCUAGUCUACAACAGACCUGGCUAUGGUUGAGACGCGUCGCUGCAGCUCGGGCGAGGCGCUGAAAACACACCCGUCAACGCAAAGGGUCUGCCAUCCUGUCUGCGGUUGACGACAGGCCACCUGAAAAUGUGAAAAUGGUGGUGUGACAGGGCUUCCUGCAAGGAAGAAUAAGGUGUGAAAGGUCAUAUGAGAUGCCAUGUUGAAGCAGGUGAACGUUAGCGGUCACUGUCUGCAGAUCUACCCUGAAAAUUGAAUCAGCCGGCAGGUUGGGGGCCAGGAGGCACGGGUGCCAAGCUACACUGAUUUAAUUGUGUGUGUGUGUGUGUGUGUAUGUGUGUGUGUAUGUGUGUGUGUGUGUGU